GUGAACGCUGGCGGUAGGCCAAACACAUGCAAGUCGAACGGCAGCACAGUAAGAGCUUGCUCUUACGGGUGGCGAGUGGCGGACGGGUGAGGAAUACAUCGGAAUCUACUUUUUCGUGGGGGAUAACGUAGGGAAACUUACGCUAAUACCGCAUACGACCUACGGGUGAAAGCAGGGGAUCUUCGGACCUUGCGCGAUUGAAUGAGCCGAUGUCGGAUUAGCUAGUUGGCGGGGUAAAGGCCCACCAAGGCGACGAUCCGUAGCUGGUCUGAGAGGAUGAUCAGCCACACUGGAACUGAGACACGGUCCAGACUCCUACGGGAGGCAGCAGUGGGGAAUAUUGGACAAUGGGCGCAAGCCUGAUCCAGCCAUACCGCGUGGGUGAAGAAGGCCUUCGGGUUGUAAAGCCCUUUUGUUGGGAAAGAAAAGCAGCAGGUUAAUACCCCGCUGUUCUGACGGUACCCAAAGAAUAAGCACCGGCUAACUUCGUG
rnacentral:rRNA from 1 species